GGAGAAAGGCUGUAGCUCAAUGGCAGAGCGUCUGCCUUGCAAGCAGAAGCUCCAAGGUUUGUUCAGUCCCCGCUGGCAUCUCCA